CCCCAGGUCAGGCGGGACUACCUACUGAGUUUAAGCAUAUAAAUAAGAGAAGGAGAAGAAACUUACGAGGAUUCCCCUAGUAACGGCGAGUGAAUCGGGAGAUGCCCAGCUUGAGAAUCGGGCAGCCGCAUCGUCCGAAUUGUAGUUUGGAGAGGCGUCCUUAGCGACGGACCGGGCCCAAGUCCCCUGGAAAGGGACGCCUGGGAGGGUGAGAGCCUCGUCCGGCCCAGACCCUGUCACCCACGAGGCACCGUCAACGAGUCGGGUUGUUUGGGAAUGCAGCCCAAAUCGGGCGGUAAACUCCGUCCAAGGCAAAAUAGAGGCGAGAGACCGAUAGCGAACAAGUACCACGAGGGAAAGAUGAAAAGGAUUUUGAAAAGAGAGUCAAAGAGUGCUUGAAAUUGCCGCGAGGGAAGCAGAUGGGGGCCGGCGAUGCGCCCUGGCCAUAUGCGGAACAACUUUGGCUGGUCCACCAAUCGGCUCGAGGCGUGGAUUGUUGUCGGCCGCCCGGCGGCCAAAGCCCGAGGGCCUCGCGCCCCCGGUAGCCAUCGUCAGUGCAGCCGGUCACCCCGCAUCUCUGGCGCGCCCCUCGGGGCGCCACGCUACAAUGGCCUGCGGCUCCCCAUCCGACCCGUCUUGAAAGAUGGACCAAGGAGUCUGACAUGCGCGCAAGUCGACGGGUUCUGAAACUUGGGAUGCGCAAGGAAGCUGACGGGAGGGAGGCCCCUACGGGCUGCACCGCUGGCCGACCAUGAUCUUCCCUCCCUGCAAAUCGUUCGUCUGACUUGGGUAUAGGGGCGAAAGACUAAUCGAACCAUCUAGUAGCUGGCUCCCUCCGAAGUUUCCCUC
rnacentral:rRNA from 1 species